AUGAGGCUCCCUGCUCAGCUCCUGGGGCUGCUGAUGCUCUGGAUCCCAGGAUCCAAUGGGGAUGUUGUGAUGACCCAGACUCCACUCUCCCUGUCUGUCGUCCCUGGAGAGCCGGCCUCCAUCUCCUGCAAGUCUAGUCAGAGCCUCAAACAUAGUGAUGGAAAUACCUAUUUGUAUUGGUUCCUACAGAAGCCAGGCCAGUCUCCAAAGCGCCUGAUCUAUUUAGUUUCCAUCCGGGUCUCUGGAGUCUCAGAUAGGUUCAGUGGCAGCGGGUCAGAAACAGAUUUCACCCUGAAAAUCAGCAGAGUGGAGCCUGAGGACGUUGGAGUCUAUUACUGUGUGCAAGCUCUAUAUGCUCCUCCCACAGUGGUACAGGCCUCAACAUAA